UGUUUAGUUCCGAGUUUGAUAGCAGCAGCAGUGAUAAUGCGAGACAGCUGGGGUGCCAUUGGUAAUUGGAUGACAGGCAGGCUUUCAAUGAAGGACCAGGAUAAAAAGAGAAGAGCAGAGGAAAAGAAAGAGAGGAGCACCAAGAGAGGAAGGGGAAGCAGCAACUACAGGAGCAGUAAUAGCAGGACGGGAGCAAUGAGGCGAGAGGCAAAAGGAACCAGUGGCAGCAGCAGCAACGGGAUACACUGCAAAGGAGGCGGGGUGUAAAUUAAGCAAAUCCUAAACACAGCAGCAAUCUGAGAAAACCACAGCUGAUGGGCAAAAGGAAGUGGAGUAACUCGGACCGCCGACUUCAGCCGACAGUUAAGUGGCUUUGCUUGUCUGGUCUAUAAGGUAGCUCUAAUUGUGCUUAGGGUCUCUGCUGGGAAAGAGACUCUGUGAUUGUGAUUUACUGUUUUAAAGUGAACACUACAUUCACGUUUCUCUGCUUUAAGUCCUGUUUAGGUCUAUACAGCUGCAUGCCAGAUCUUAACUAGCUGCCUGUAGUAAUUAGCCUGCUUGUCCUGCUCUAUUAGAGCAUAUUAAAGAGUUUUUGUAUUUUAGCAGUGUUAUAGCCUUUCAUACUAGGUUAUAAAUUGUUUUUAGGUAUUUGUACUGUAGUUUUAAACCUUUUUAUUCACUGUAUGGUUUUACUGGGGGUGAGGUGGCGGGUGUUUAUUGCUGGCCUAUAUAUUUCAGUCAUCACUCUAUAUUGUUAAUUGGAAAGAAACCGUUUAAAUCGUUUCUUGUCAGUUUUUUUUAAAAAUAGGAAUUAACCUCUUUGUUCCAGUGCAUGACUCUAGGAGUGUUUGGACAUUAGAAGGCUUCCAAAUUGCGGAGUGGAGGAACUACUUGAUUCAGCACAGAACCCCCUUGUAUUGUUUUGUCAUCUGUAUUGUACACUUACAUUAAUCUGUUUGAUUACUGAGGCUUUAGUAAGUUCGUGUUCCCAGUGCCGGGUGGUUGUUUGGUGGUGUUUGUGGCGAUCUCUAGUGGGCAGGGUUAUUGGCUUUCUUUUUGUGAAAAAAAGGAGAACUGGAGGUGAUUUUUCAAGGAACAGACACUAGCACUACCACCAACAAACCAGAUAGUAGGAGGAACUAGUUAACACUUGUUAUGGUCUCAGUACUUUUAUAUGUACAUGUUUUAAAUUUUUGUAAUUAGUUUUAACUUAAUAAACCCUCUUAAUUGGAAUGUUGGUGUUCUGUGUGAUUCCUCCUGUUGCAUGUCAGAGAGCCAGGUGUUGCUCCCCCAAAUGAAAAGAACCAAUGUAGGGUUUUCUCGACCAUACUACAAUUUCAAUCACUAUAAUAAAAAUAAAAAACUAAUUCUUAGGGAGCAAUCCCCCAGGUGGCGUAGUCACUACAAGAUAAAAGAAAAUAGUCUGUUUGUUCGGCACCUGCCACACUAGAACUUGGCACAGUCGGCAGGAUUCGGGUUUCUGAGCAACACAGUGUACCUUCUGAUAUGCCAGGAGAGGAAUCAUGAUAAUGUCAUUUUUUAUGGGUGCACCUUGGGUCCCGAAAUUUAAAGGCACCGAGGCAGGGACAAGGAUAGUAGAGUGGAGAGAGCAAAUCAAGGCAAUGAUACGGAUGCAGCGGUUGAGUGAUGAACAGUGUUUAGACUUUGUACUAGGUGCAAAUGGAAGGGGAGGCCAAACGGGAAAUCUUGGUUACAGAUGACAGGGAUAGGAAUACUCCUGAGAAAAUAUUGAAGUUAUUAGAUUAAUUGUUUGGUGAUAAAGUGUCUAGUUCUGUGUUACACUCUUCUUUCUUUAGUUGUAAGCAGGAGAGUAAUGAGAGUUUAAAAGCCUUCACUCUGCGUCUUCUAGAGAUCUUCCGCAGGUUACAAGUCGAGAGAAGGUUGGAAGCCAACAGUGUGUAAAGUGAUUGUUCUGCAGCAAGUAAAGCCUGGAAACAAGCAUUGUUGGUGUAUCAACGGAUAGCCUGGUUUGGGAAUGAAGAUAGGUUUGUGGGUUUUGUGAGGCCAGCAAACAGACAAACUGGACGUAUUGCUGCAGACAGCGAAGUACUUAUCUGGUGGAGAACCCGGGCUGGGAUAAAGGGCCAACCCUAUUGUGGGUUAGUUGAACCAAUACAAGGUCUGGAAGCUGUGUCUGUAGCACGUUCUGUGGCAUUUGUGAACAAGGGGAGGGUACUUGUCCAUACUAAGAAUGUGAACUAUUUUCCAAUAAUAUUAGAACGUUAUCAGAAGAUAGCCACCGUGUAUGCUGUGGACACAGUUGAUGUGAAGGGACACAACUCAGCCUAAUCAACGUGGACCUUGGAGUUGUCGAAGUUGGUGUGCAGGAAGUUCAGCAGGCACAAUUCGCAGGUAAGGUGGAACUUCUCUCUAUACCUCCCCAGGGUGAAGAAUUGUCUUUGCAACAACAAGAGCAAUUACAGGCCUUACUAAUUAAGUGGCAGGGAGUGUUUUCUACCAAUGAGGAGGAUUUUGGCCGGACUGACAUUGUGCAACACCAGAUCCCAACUGGAGAUGUGCCACACAUUUGAAAGCUAUAGCCUCCUUUCCACCAACCAUGUAUAAAGCAUUGAAGACCCUGUUACAAGGUAUGUUGGAGUCUAGGGUGAUUCGGGAAAUCUGUAGCCCAUGGGUCGCUCCUAUAGUCUUAGUGUAGAAGAAAGAUGGUGCAUGGAGGUUUUGUGUAGACUAUAGGAGGCUUAACGCCGUUACCCAUAAAGAUGCAUAUUCUUUGCCAUGGAUGAAAGACCCAUGAGAUAGAAAAAAGACUGCUUUUUCCACCCCACUUGGCCUUUAUGAAUUUGAGAGAAUGCCAUUUGGGUUGUGAAAGGCCCCAUUGAUUUUCCAGCGGCUUAUGCAGCAUUGCCAGGGGAACCAACUAACAAAAUCCUUGUUGGUGUAUUUGGAUGAUAUUAUUGUUUACUCCCCAGACUUUGAAACCCAUUUGAAACAUCUGGAUACAAUGUUUGAGUGUGGUUAAAUGCAAGCUCCUUCAAUACAAGGUACGAUUCCUGGGUCAUGUAUUAAAGCAAGAAGGCGUUCUCCCGGAUCCUGAAAGUAGAAGCAGUGCAUGAUUGGCCAGUUCUUAUGAACGUGAAACAAGUAUGGUCUUUGCUGGCUAUUAUCGCAGGUUCAUCAAGGGCUUUGCGAAGUUAACGGCACCCUUACAUGUGCUAUUGGAAGGGCAAGGAAGGCUGCCAAUAAGGGGCAAGGAAGCCCUCUUGGCUGCACCAAUCCUGGCUUUUGCUGAUUUUACCCAACCUUUUGUGGUUUAUACCGAUGCAAGUAAAUGGGGGAUUAGGAGCUGUAUUAGAACAGAAACAAGACGGCAGGGAGUGGGUUAUUGCAUAUGCGAGUAGGAGUCUUCACCCAACUGAAAGGAAUGAUUCUAAUUACAGUUAAUUUAAACUGGAACUGUAAGCUUUGAAAUGUGCCAUUAGAGAGGAAUUUAAAGAUGAUCUGAUAGGUGCCCCAUUUACAGUGUUUAUAGACAAUAAUCCUUUGGCCCACUUACAAACAGCAAGACUUGGAGCCACAGAGCAAUGGUGGGUAGCACAGUUGACAAGUUUUCAGUUUAAAAUACUGUAUCGCCUUGGGAAAGAAUUAUAAUGCUUAUGCUCUCUCAAGGUUACCUGAAAGCCAAGUUUUCUAACAGGGUAUGGAAGAAGGCUUAGGGACCCCCUGUUUGGCGUGCACAGGAGUUUUAAUAGAAGUGGCAAACAUUGACGGUGGAAUAGUGGAUGAAGAUCCAUUUGACCAGAUGGGGCAACACACAAGACACAAACGAGUCCCUCACUUCUGUAAAGAGGUAUGUACAGAGGAUGAAGGCACCUAGCGCAGCUGAUUGUCAGAAAGAGACGCCCGAGACAUAACAAAUAUUGCAGCAAUGGAAGCGAUUGCAACUUCAAGGAGGUGUGUUGUGUAGAAAGAUGGUGGAUGGAUGCACUUGUGGGAUUUAUUUUCAGAUCAUUGUGUCGCAAGAUUGACAGAAACAGGCCUGGGAAUGCUAUCAUCAGGAGGCUGGACACCUGGGAGUUGAGAAGAACUUGACCACAAUUCAAUUACGGUUCUAUUGGUCCUGGAUGGAGACUCAGGAACAGGCUUGGCAUCGAGCUUGUACCCGUUGCAAUUUAUGAAAGGCUAAGGCAGACCCUGGUGCUCUGUUGGUGCCCUUUCAGGUUACUGCUCCUUUAGAGGUAGUUGCCAUAGACCUUUUGAUGCAGGGCAGCCCAAAUAAUGCAUAUUAAAAUAUUUUAGUAAUGACAGACACGUUUACUAAGUUUGCCUGGGCUGUACCUGCCCAAGACCAAACUGCCUUGCCCACGGCUAAGGUUCUGUGGUAUCAUGUAGUUCAGCCUUUUGGGUGCCCAGCCCAGUUCCACUCGGUUCAAGGCCUCAAUUUUGAGUUAUACUUAAUACUUGUUUAGUUCCAAGUUUGAUAACAGCAGCAGUGAUAAUGUGAGACAGCUGGGGUGCCAUUGGUAAUUGGACGACAGGCAGGGUUUCAAUCAAGGACCAGGAUUAAGAGAAGAGCAGAGGAAGAGAAAGAGAGGAAAGCAUGGAGAGAGGAGGGGGAGCAGUAAUAGCAGGACGAGAGCAACGAAGUGAGAGGCAGAAGGAACCACAGUGGCAGCAGCAGCAGCGGGAUACGCUGCAAAGGAUCAGAGGCAAGCUGAGAAAACCACAACUGAUGGGCAAAUGGAAGUGGAGUAAUGGACCGUGGGUUUCAGCCGACAGUUAAAAGUGUCUUUGUUUGUCUGGUGUAUAAGGUAGCUCUAAUUGUGCUUAGGGUCUCUGCUGGGAAGGAAACUGUGAUUGUGAUUUACUGUUUUAAAGUGAACACUACAUUCACUUUUCUCUGCUUAAGUCCUGUUUAGGUCUAUACAGCUGUAUUACAGAUCUCAACUAGCUGCGCAUAAUAAAGGGUUUUUGUAUUUUAGUUGUGUUAUAGCCUUUCAUACUAGGCUAUAAAUUGUUUUUAGGGCUUUGUACUGUAGUUUUAAACCUUUUUUAUUCAUUGUAUAGUUAUACUGGGGGUGAGGGGGUGUUUAUUAUUUAUUUAUUUAUUUAUUAAUUUUAUUUAUUUAUUAAUUAAUUAGCAGAAGCCCUUAUCCAGAGCGACUUACAAUUGUUACAACAUAUAACAUUAAAAAAUAUCACGUUUCAGAAUUCUGUCAUAUAUUUCAGUGAUCGCUCUAUAUUGUUAAUUGGAACAAAACCAUUUAAACACUAUGGGGGUGAUGUAAGGAUACACGCAAAGUGAUUUGCGGGUGCAAAACCCCCAUAAUGCUGACAUAAAUCAUGUUUAGGAGCCGUAUUCACCUGGCGUUCUGCACCCGCUAUCAAAUUUUCACUUUGCCAUCAUUAAUCCAUUAAAAUUAUAUUGAAAUGCAUUCAAAUGAAGAAAAGAGCAUGACAUUGGGUGGGAUCUGGAUACUAAGCGGGCACAAACAUUAUAAUGUGAUGUAAGGAUUUUGCCUUGCACUUAGGCAAUUGCUGACCCUCCAAAAACAUUACACCUCAUUACUUGUGCGUGUUGAGUAAUUUGCAUUGUUCUUAAGCUUACAUAGGGCUCAGUACAAAAUAAUUGUCUGGCUGCAAUGCAAUUUGAAUUUUGCAUCUGCAAUUAUUUGCACUGCGCCUAUACUUACAUCACCCCCUGUGUGAUUUGUUUCUUGUCAGUUUCUUUAUAGGAAUUAACCCUAUUGGUCCAGUGCACAACUCUAGGAGUGUUUGGACAUUAGAUGGCUUCCGAAUUGUGAUGUGGAUGAGUUAAAACCGACCGGCUUUCUAAGGAGUGGAGAAGCUGAGUGGAGGAAUGAUUCAGCACAGAACCCCCUUGUAUUAUUUUGUCAUCUGUAUUAUACACUUACAUUCAUCUGUUUGAUUGCUGAGGCUUUAGUUAGUUUGUGUUCCCAGUGCCAGAUGGUUGUUUGGCGAUGUUCGUGGCGACCUCUAGUGGGAGGGUUAUUGGCUUUUGUUUUGUAAAAAAAGGCAGAACUGGAGGUGAUUUUUCAAGGAACAGACACUAGCACUACCACCAACAAACCAGAUGGUAGGGGGAACUAGUUAGCACUUGUUAUGGUCUCAGUACUUUAUAUGUAAAUGUUUUUCUGUGUGAUUCCUCCUGUUGCAUGUCAGAGGUCCAGUGUGUUGCUUCCCCAAAUAAAAAGAACCAACGCAGGGUUUUCUUGACCACACUAUAAUUAACAUCGAUAUAAUAACAACAACAAAAAUAUUUCUUAGGGUGCAAUACCCAAGUGGCGUAGUCGCUACUAUAAAAGAAAAGAGCCUGUUUACACGGCACCCGCCACACACGCAUUAUCAUCAUUACUCACAUAGAACAUAUGGACCCAGGUCAAUUACUGGUUAUUUCCUUACCGAGAAUAUACUGUAUAUUUAACACAUUUGUUUUAUGGAUGAUACAGUGUGUGUUCUGCUUAAAGGCUUCAAGAGGUACAUUAAAUGAAUGCAUAGAUGCAAAGGUAUUUUAAUGAGGUGGAAUCAGACAAUUUGUGCACAUAUUUCACUCAGAGGAAUUUAUACCACCCUGUAUAAACAAGUUAUAAUUUAAGAAAGGGGAAUAGUCAACAGAAAUCAGAUGGGAGGGUGGUUGGGGGUACUGGGAGGCAGUUAAACUUUCAAUCAAGGUUACCCAAGACUCCCCCUGUAAGCCAGUUGAGAUAAUCGGUGAUGGAAUACGCUGGGGGAGUGAAUUAGAGAAGACUAGAUUUAAAAACGACAUGACAAGCUGAAGAAAACUAAAGGUGAAGGAGAUGGAUUUCAUUGAGGGUAUUAGGCAAAACGUUAAUGCAGAAUGAAUUCAUUUACACACGAACAGGAUCAGGUUCAAUUUAAAUUGAAAGCUGCAUUUGCAUCCCGCUUAGAAUUGUGCAGCUUUCUAGUUAGUGAUUUGUUUGACGCAGCACCAAAUCUAUAAAAACUCUUGAAAAUAUGGGCUCCACAAAAUGGGACGGGAUAUAUAAGGCAAGGAUAUUUUACUUUUUGGGUGGGCACUGAAGCAGUGCUGGCACCAGAUUUUUGUGGGCCCCGGGACCUCCAGUGGGUCCCCACACCUUCACCCCCAAAAUAAAAAAUAUUUUUCUAUCACAAGGUUUUUAUAACCAGUAGUUCCUCGCUAAACUGGACAUGUCUGGAGACGCGAGUUGUCUAAUUUUAAAAAAAAAAUA